rnacentral:lncRNA from 10 species
GUGUGCUCCGCUUUUGUGCUACUGGCAUAUGAAGAAACUGGGGCUCUGAAUGGCAUAUUAACGCGUGCAGCUCCAGACAGCGAGGAAGUGAUGGCAACUCUAUCCGAACUCAAAUCUGCCAGACCUAUACCAGUAGGUGCCUGUGUGCAGUUGGGGACUCACCUCUGCCAGUGCUGGCAUGAGCUAGCUGUCUUGAACUGAAAACAGACACUCAAAGAUGGGCUGUGGGAUCCCAGAGAGGUGGCAGAAUGGUCAAAGCUAUGAAGCCAACAGCUGCUGCCAACAAGAAAGUCCUGAGCCCUGAGUGAUUGUAAUUUAAACUUAAUGCUGGGAGUGGGUGUUUAUUUUGGAGGAGUGGGCUGCUUAUUUUUGGUUUGGGGACUUGUUCAUUCAUCUUUUCUCAGCGGCGCCUACUGCUGCCCUGGCCCGAAGUUAAAGCUCAAUAAAUCACUGUUGCACAACUGAGUGCCCACGCCUAGAUUGUAAGUUCCUGGAAGGCAAGGAUUUGUGUCCCACACUUGUUUUGUACCCUCCAGGAUCUUGCACAGCACUUGGCGAAUGGGUAUUGAAUGAAUUCAUUCACUGAAGCGUCUCUCUGGUGCCAGGCCCAGUGCUAAGUGAUGGGAAUACACAGAUGAAUACGAUAUGGUCCCUGCUCUUGGGUAACUCAUUAUUCUGGUAAAUGAAUAAAGGAAA